rnacentral:rRNA from 1 species
CCUACGGGAGGCAGCAGUGAGGAAUAUUGGUCAAUGGACGCGAGUCUGAACCAGCCAAGUAGCGUGAAGGAUGACUGCCCUAUGGGUUGUAAACUUCUUUUAUAUGGGAAUAAAACGUUCCACGUGUGGGAUUUUGUAUGUACCAUAUGAAUAAGGAUCGGCUAACUCCGUUCCAGCAGCCGCGGUAAUACGGAGGAUCCGAGCGUUAUCCGGAUUUAUUGGGUUUACAGGGAGCGUAGGUAGAUUGUUAAGUCAGUUGUGAAAGUUUGCGGCUCAACCGUAAAAUUGCAGUUGAAACUGGCAGUCUUGAGGACAGUAGAGGUGGGCGGAAUUCGGGGUGUAGCGGUGAAAUGCUUAGAUAUCACGAAGAACUCCGAUUGCGAAGGCAGUUCACUGGACUGCAACUGACACUGAGGCUCGAAAGUGUGGGUAUCAAACAGGAUUAGAUACCCUUGUAGUC